rnacentral:tRNA from 1 species
UUUCACUGGUCAGUUUAGGGAAUAUUGACUUUGGGUGUUGAAGGGUGUCAGUGAGUGAGAG